rnacentral:rRNA from 1 species
UUAGCGGCGGACGGGUAGUAAACGUGGGUAACUGCCCUAAGAUGGGAUAACUCCGGGAKKCCGGGGCUAAACCGGAUAKCAUUUCAKCUGCAUGGUUCGAAUUGAAAGGCGGCUUCGGCWGUCACUUAUGGAUGGACCCGCGUCGCAUUAGCUAGUUGGUGAGGUAACGGCUCACCAAGGCAACGAUGCGUAGCCGACCUGAGAGGGMGAUCGGCCACACUGGGACUGAGACACGGCCCAACUCCUACGGGAGGCAGCAGUAGGGAAUCUUCCGCAAUGGACGAAAGUCUGACGGAGCAACGCCGCGUGAGUGAUGAAGGCUUUCGGGUCGUAAAAACUCUGUUGUUAGGGAAAGAAACAAGUGCUAGUUGAAUAAGCUGGCACCUUGACGGUACCUAACCAGAAAGCCACGGCUAACUACGUGCCAGCAGCCGCGGUAAUACGUAGGUGGGCAAGCGUUAUCCGGAAUUAUUGGGCGUAAAGCGCGCGCAGGUGGUUUCUUAAGUCUGAUGUGAAAGCCCACGGCUCAACCGUGGAGGGUCAUUGGAAACUGGGAG